GGAGCUGGAGGCGCUUCGGGUCCGGCUGGCACAGGCAGAGCAGGACAUGGAAACUGUGCUGUCCUGCGCACGGCAAAGGGAGGAACGGCUCCGGGCCCAAGUGGAGGCGCUGAGGAGCCAGAACCUCUUCCUGGUGCUGGCCCUCAAGGCGCAGAGGGAGCAGGGCUGCGAACAGGACGACAGCCCCAUGGAGACUCCCAUGGAUAUGGAGGGGAUGGCGGAGGAGUGCUGGCCACCCUGGAGGGGG